AAAAGAAUUAGUUAAAUUAACAUUAAAUUGUCAAUUUAAAAAUAUUAUUUCUAUAAUAUUCUUUUA
rnacentral:tRNA from 1 species